rnacentral:rRNA from 1 species
AGUGAACGCUGGCGGUAGGCCUAACACAUGCAAGUCGAACGGCAGCACAGUAAGAGCUUGCUCUUACGGGUGGCGAGUGGCGGACGGGUGAGGAAUACAUCGGAAUCUACUUUUUCGUGGGGGAUAACGUAGGGAAACUUACGCUAAUACCGCAAACGACCUACGGGUGAAAGCAGGGGAUCUUCGGACCUUGCGCGAUUGAAUGAGCCGAUGUCGGAUUAGCUAGUUGGCGGGGUAAAGGCCCACCAAGGCGACGAUCCGUAGCUGGUCUGAGAGGAUGAUCCGCCACACUGGAACUGAGACACGGUCCAGACUCCUACGGGAGGCAGCAGUGGGGAAUAUUGGGCAAUGGGCGCAAGCCUGAUCCAGCCAUACCGCGUGGGUGAAGAAGGCCUUCUGGUUGUAAAGCCCUUUUGUUGGGAAAGAAAAGCAGCAGGUUAAUACCCCGCUGUUCUGACGGUACCCAAAGAAUAAGCACCGGCUAACUUCGUG